AUUGAACGCUGGCGGCAUGCUUUACACAUGCAAGUCGAACGGCAGCGCGGGCUUCGGCCUGGCGGCGAGUGGCGAACGGGUGAGUAAUACAUCGGAACGUGCCCAGUAGUGGGGGAUAGCUCGGCGAAAGCCGGAUUAAUACCGCAUACGACCUGAGGGUGUAAGCGGGGGAUCUUCGGACCUCGCGCUAUUGGAGCGGCCGAUGGCAGAUUAGCUAGUUGGUGGGGUAAAGGCCUACCAAGGCGACGAUCUGUAGCUGGUCUGAGAGGACGACCAGCCACACUGGGACUGAGACACGGCCCAGACUCCUACGGGAGGCAGCAGUGGGGAAUUUUGGACAAUGGGCGAAAGCCUGAUCCAGCAAUGCCGCGUGUGUGAUGAAGGCCUUCGGGUUGUAAAGCACUUUUGGCGGGAACGAAAAGGACUGUGCCAAUACCACGGUUCGAUGACGGUACCCGCAGAAUAAGCACCGGCUAACUACGUG
rnacentral:rRNA from 1 species